GUUUCUUCAACACACAGACGUUGUCUCAGCAGAGGUGCCUUUCCAACAGCCCUGCCUCACUGCGCCUCUGGAGUAGUCAGCCCAGUGCCCCUCAGCUGUAUCUGCCUUGUCGGCAGUUCUGGGGCGGCGGCGGGGGGAGGUGCUGUGCUGCCUCCGCGGUCACCCAGAUGUCCAGAGAGGAGAGGGCCAGGCGCCCUUCGAAACCUCUGCCCAAGACUCACCAAAUGCCCUCUGCCUGGCUGUGCAGAGACCCUGCCGACAACACACAGGCGGCACCCUGGGGGUGAUGUCGGCUGAAGAGGACUUACUUUUCCUCUGAAACAAGGUGAGCACAG